AGCGAAAGUUUGCUCUCAUCCAUUGAGAGAGCUAAAGAGGCAAACAUAAUAAAUAAAUUACAACAUAAUAAACAUAAAAUAUGACAUACAUGACAUAACAUAAAGUAAUCAAUAAAUUUUGCAAGCUUAAGGGUGAAAAUAUGGCGGAAACUAUUAAAUUUGUAUUUUUCAUAAUCCUAUUAAUUUUCUUGUUUCUUGUUGUAAUUGAUGCUGGAGCAUGGAAAUUGAGGCCACCAGAUUGCAAGAAAGAUUCGGAUUGUCCACCCAAGUUUUGUCUGUCUCCUUUGGUUGCAAAAUGUAAUUCUCGUAAAUGUUACUGUGGUUAAUAAAAUGUAUCAUGUAAAAAUACUUGUUUCUAUUUCAAGAACACAUUUUCAGUAAUAAUAUUUAAUGAAUAAUAUGAAAAUACAUAA